AACGAACGCUAGCGGCAUGCCUAACACAUGCAAGUCGAACGAGAUCUUCGGGUCUAGUGGCGCACGGGUGCGUAACGCGUGGGAAUCUGCCCUUUGGUUCGGAAUAACAGUUGGAAACGACUGCUAAUACCGGAUGAUGACGAAAGUCCAAGAUUUAUCGCCAGAGGAUGAGCCCGCGUAGGAUUAGCUAGUUGGUGUGGUAAAGGCGCACCAAGGCGACGAUCCUUAGCUGGUCUGAGAGGAUGAUCAGCCACACUGGGACUGAGACACGGCCCAGACUCCUACGGGAGGCAGCAGUGGGGAAUAUUGGACGAUGGGCGAAAGCCUGAUCCAGCAAUGCCGCGUGAGUGAUGAAGGCCUUAGGGUUGUAAAGCUCUUUUACCCGGGAUGAUAAUGACAGUACCGGGAGAAUAAGCUCCGGCUAACUCCGUGCCAGCAGCCGCGGUAA
rnacentral:rRNA from 1 species